rnacentral:tRNA from 1 species
UGCCCAGGGGCGGGAAUCGAACCCACAACCUUCUGCUUACCGGGCAGGUGCCAUGUCCACUGUGGGUUCGAUUCCCGCCCCUGGAC